CCCUUAGACGUUCUGGGCCGCACGCGCGCUACACUGACACAGGCAACGAGCUUUCCUUUACCGAAAGGUAUGGGUAAUCUUUUGAAACUGUGUCGUGCUGGGGAUAGAUCCUUGCAAUUUUUGAUCUUAAACGAGGAAUUCCUAGUAAGCGCGAGUCAUCAACUCGCGUUGAUUACGUCCCUGCCCUUUGUACACACCGCCCGUCGCUACUACCGAUUGAAUGGCUUAGUAAGGCCUCAGGAUCCGCGCUUAAUGUGUGGAGAAUUUGGACAAACUACGUCAUUUAGAGGAAGUAAAAGUCGUAACA
rnacentral:rRNA from 1 species